rnacentral:tRNA from 1 species
GAGAAAGACAUAGAGGUUAUGGGGUUGGCUUGAAACCAAUUCAAGGGGGUUCGAAUCCUUCCUUUCUUA